UACGAGAGGCCCAAACGUUAUUCGGAAUUACUGGGCUUAAAGAGUCCGUAGGCGGCGCAGCAAGUAGGGUGUGAAAGCCCUCGGCUUAACCGAGGAAUUGCGCUCUAAACUACUGUGCUUGAGGAACCUAGAGGUGAGCGGAACUGAUGGUGGAGCGGUGAAAUGCGUUGAUAUCAUCAGGAACACCGGAGGCGAAGGCGGCUCACUGGGGGUUAUCUGACGCUGAGGGACGAAAGCCAGGGGAGCGAACGGG
rnacentral:rRNA from 1 species